CCUGCCCCNNAGACUGGNAUAACNCCGGNAAACCGGUGCUAAUACCGGAUGUCUUUCAAUGAUCGCAUGAUCGAUGAAAGAAAUGUUUUUUCGCUUUGGGAGGGGCUCGCGGUCCAUCAGCUUGUUGGCGGGGUAACGGCCCACCAAGGCUACGACGGAUAGCUGGUCUGAGAGGACGAUCAGCCACACUGGAACUGAGACACGGUCCAGACUCCUACGGGAGGCAGCAGUGGGGAAUCUUGCGCAAUGGACGAAAGUCUGACGCAGCAACCCCGCGUGAGGGACGAAGGCUUUCUGAGUUGUAAACCUCUUUCGACAGGAACGAUUGUGACGGUACCUGUAGAAGAAGCACCGGCCAACUAUGUGCCAGCAGCCGCGGUGAUACAUAGGGUGCGAGCGUUAUUCGGAUUUAUUGGGCGUAAAGAGCUCGUAGGCGGUUCGACAAGUCGGGUGUUAAACCCCCAGGCUCAACCUGGGGCCGCCACCCGAAACUGUCGUGACUAGAGUUUGGUAGGGGAUCACGGAAUUCCUGGUGUAGCGGUGGAAUGCGCAGAUAUCAGGAGGAACACCAGUAGCGAANGNNGUGAUCUGGGCCAAUACUGACGCUGANGAGCGAAAG
rnacentral:rRNA from 1 species